GACGAACGCUGGCGGCGUGCUUAACACAUGCAAGUCGAACGGAAAGGCCCCUUUGGGGGUACUCGAGUGGCGAACGGGUGAGUAACACGUGAGUAACCUGCCCUUGACUUCGGGAUAACUUCAGGAAACUGGGGCUAAUACCGGAUAGGAAUCCUUGCUGCAUGGUGGGGGUUGGAAAGCUUCGGCGGUUUUGGAUGGACUCGCGGCUUAUCAGCUUGUUGGUGGGGUAGUGGCUUACCAAGGCUUUGACGGGUAGCCGGCCUGAGAGGGCGACCGGCCACAUUGGGACUGAGAUACGGCCCAGACUCCUACGGGAGGCAGCAGUGGGGAAUAUUGACAAUGGGCGGAAGCCUGAUGCAGCAACGCCGCGUGCGGGAUGACGGCCUUCGGGUUGUAAACCGCUUUCAGCAGGGGCGAAGCUUGUGGUGACGGUACCUGCAGAAGAAGCACCGGCUAACUACGUG
rnacentral:rRNA from 1 species